CUGAACCAGCCAAGUAGCGUGAAGGAUGACUGCCCUAUGGGUUGUAAACUUCUUUUAUAAAGGAAUAAAGUCGGGUAUGGAUACCCGCUUUGCAUGUACUUUAUGAAUAAGGAUCGGCUAACUCCGUGCCAGCAGCCGCGGUAAUACGGAGGAUCCGAGCGUUAUCCGGAUUUAUUGGGUUUAGAGGGAGCGUAGAUGGAUGUUUAAGUCAGUUGUGAAAGUUUGCGG
rnacentral:rRNA from 1 species